rnacentral:rRNA from 1 species
GAUGAACGCUGGCGGCGUGCCUAAUACAUGCAAGUCGAGCGAACGGACGAGAAGCUUGCUUCUCUGAUGUUAGCGGCGGACGGGUGAGUAACACGUGGAUAACCUACCUAUAAGACUGGGAUAACUUCGGGAAACCGGAGCUAAUACCGGAUAAUAUUUUGAACCGCAUGGUUCAAAAGUGAAAGACGGUCUUGCUGUCACUUAUAGAUGGAUCCGCGCUGCAUUAGCUAGUUGGUAAGGUAACGGCUUACCAAGGCAACGAUGCAUAGCCGACCUGAGAGGGUGAUCGGCCACACUGGAACUGAGACACGGUCCAGACUCCUACGGGAGGCAGCAGUAGGGAAUCUUCCGCAAUGGGCGAAAGCCUGGCGGAGCAACGCCGCGUGAGUGAUGAAGGUCUUCGGAUCGUAAAACUCUGUUAUUAGGGAAGAACAUAUGUGUAAGUAACUGUGCACAUCUUGACGGUACCUAAUCAGAAAGCCACGGCUAACUACGU